ACCAAAGCUUUCGCUUUUCAAAACAAAACAAUAAAGCCUUUGAAUUUUCCAGAGACUUUUUCCUUCUCUUGAACCAACAUCAUUAUCGUAAUGUUUUCAUUAGCUUAUUGCCAAGGCAUUUUUUAUACAAAUUUGGAUGCUAGCUCAUCACCUUCUUCAAUUGGAUAGAAAAGUGAACAUGAGGGGUAUAAAAUGGGUAGAGGACAAGCGACCCUUCAUUCUAGUGCAAACAAAGGGAAGAGGUGUAUGGAGUUCUAGGAUGCUUUGAAAAAGGUGUGGGUUAUUGGUCUAUGAAGAUCGAUAAGAGUGUUUAGGCAUCCCUAGAACUCACUUUUGUGGCUUUAAUGGUGAUUAAGUGUGUCUCAAUGAAAUUUGGACAUACUUUUGAGAAAUGGUCACGCCUACAAAGCUUAAAAAAAAUUUAUUGAGAGUAAUGUCGAGGUAAUACAUUUUAGCUUUGCUUUUUUAUCUCUCAAUUUGUCUUUCAAGUAUGUUGACCACUGUUUUUAAGUUGUUUCAAGCAUGUUGAUUGACCAUUCUUUUUAAGUUGUUUUGAUUGACUCAAAAAUUAUCCAUUUCUUCUAAGAUCAUUGGAUAAUUUUUUCUUCUCAAAAUUAUGCAGAGAAUUGCUUUUGGUGCAAGAAGAAACAAAUAUGUUCUUAAAAAAGUAACAACUUUUUUAGUCAAGAUGUUAUAAUAAUGAUUCAAGAUUUGCAAAUUAACAAGAUUACAAAUAAAAAAAGAACAAAAUAUCAAACACAGUGCAAAUACUUGAUUCAAAUUUCAUUAAAAAAAUUCUUAAAUCCAAAAUAGAGAUAUUCUUCAAGUCAAAUCCACUAUUUCAAAAAUCAAUAUACAAAAUAUUAACAACUCUCAAACAAACCAAUUUACAAACUGCAAAUCACAAAAUAAAGAAGUAUAAGAGUAAUGAUAAGCAUAGACUUCUCACUAGAUAGGGGUUGAACCAAAGAACAUAAGGGGAAGAACAAAAACCCUAACAGAGCUCCAAAGAGAGAAAUACAAGACUCAAGAAAGAGAGAAGAAUCUAGAGUUUGCGUAAAAAAAUGUAAAGAAUAAGUAACCCCAAUAAGACAACCUUUUUAUACCUAAGGUCAAUAAUAUCUAACCCUAGAUAUUACCAAAGUGCCCAUGUUUAUUCAACAUAAGGACUAAAUUACCCUUUUUCAUAUAAAUUCCCAAAUUUACCCUUGGCAAAGUUUAAGGCACACUUUACAAACUCCACCUUAUCAAAAACUAACAUAUGAAAUCGAACCAAAGAACAAACUUAUGCAACCUAUAACUCUAGACACUGCCAAUAUUCAACAAGCUUAAGGGUUCCAUAUUGUUGAUCGACACAGGUUUAGUCACUAUAUCUACAAGAUUUCCAUCAAAUGCAAUCUUCUCUAAUUUGACUUGCUCAUUGGUUAGAAUGUCUCUAACAAAGUGUAAUCUUACAUCUAUGUGUUUUGUCCUCUCAUAAUAAGUACUAUUUUUUUUUACAAAUGUACAACAUUCUAAGAGUCAAAGAAUACAAUACAAAUACUAUCAGUUAAUCCAA